rnacentral:rRNA from 1 species
UUGAACGCUGGCGGCAUGCCUUACACAUGCAAGUCGAACGGCAGCACGGGAGUAAUCCUGGUGGCGAGUGGCGAACGGGUGAGUAAUAUAUUGGAACGUGCCCAGUAAUGGGGGAUAGCCCGGCGAAAGCCGGAUUAAUACCGCAUACGACCUACGGGUGAAAGCGGGGGAUCGCAAGACCUCGCGUUAUUGGAGCGGCCGAUAUCAGAUUAGCUUGUUGGCGGGGUAAAAGCCCACCAAGGCGACGAUCUGUAGCUGGUCUGAGAGGACGACCAGCCACACUGGGACUGAGACACGGCCCAGACUCCUACGGGAGGCAGCAGUGGGGAAUUUUGGACAAUGGGCGCAAGCCUGAUCCAGCCAUGCCGCGUGUGGGAAGAAGGC